ACUUAGUACUACUAUAAUACUACAGCGCCCGACGACUUAUUUAUUGUCCGUUAAAACGGCCGUGACAGUCUCUUUCCGUCAACGUCAUGCAUUGCGCGCGUGAAAAACGAAAACGCACCAGAGGGGUUAGACAAUGGAGUACCCGAGAUUUUGAAUUCGGGGGAGCGAGGCUAAAUACGCUUUUUACCUUGAAUCGUGGGCGUAGGGGAUAAGGGGGAUUUUCGAUAACAAUGAAACGAGAAUAUAAUAACCCGUAUUGGCAUAUCUUUUUACCGUGCUUAUUAUACCACCCAUGACAGCUACGUCCUCGUUUUGAAAAUUUCGAACAAAGGCGAUUACAUCGAUUUCGUUAAUAUUCCCGUUAUAGCCUGCACGGUUCCCGCGAAACAAGUAUAUUAUUUAACAGUAUACGUUUAUAAUUCAAACGGAAAUUGUAUUUUAGGAUUUGCUGGCAUCUUGAAAAAAAAAACUAUAUAUAGGUAUACAUCAGUUUGAUAGUUUUUUUUUUUUUUAUAGAAGAAUCACACGCUGGGAAUUGAUAUUUUCCGGGCUACUAAGACGGUAAACAAUAACGUUACAAUUGGCAAAGCGGCUGGAACGUAUUAUAUAUCAUUUGGCUCGCCAUUUCUUAAUCCGUGAUUAGAAGUUUUGAGGAUAUUAUCACAUAAUAGAGGAUAAUAGUAUACGUUUCCCCCCUCCCGAGUAAUUGGGCUAGUGAUAGUUAUAGUUCUGACUGAGUUUCGUCGGCGACAAAUCCGAAUAAAGCGGGAAGGAAAUAUUUCGUUACAUUCCUACGUUAUAAUUUUUAUUCGUGUCGGAACUUACGUACCUACUCAUCACGGGCGAUAUUCACCGGUUAUAUCCCGUGCGGGAACUCAUAUGCGCCCCAUGCGCGUACCUUGUAUAAGGUCUCCCCGGUUCCGAAUUUAUCGUCUCGUAUUACGAGAUCGCGGGGCAGGUCGU